AUCCUAUGCAAAUUAGGUCAUUCCCAGAUUAACUGGGGGAAAAAAAUCUGGUCGCCUUAGCAGGCACCAUCUGUUCCCUCCUCAUUCUUUCCAUAUCUGAGCCCCACCCUCUCCUUCCCCAAGCAACUUGGAAACUUGUUUUCCUGCAGCUGAGAUAAGCGAUCUUUCAUGGGAGGGAAAAUCACCCAUCCCUUUCUCCCGUGGGCUGUUUCACUGUCUGGAAAGAAGCGCAGCCACGUGCUUCUCUCUCCUCCUUGCUGGGCCUGGCUCCCCUGUUUCUUCUCCUCUUUUUGGCCUGGGGUCUGUUGAUGGCACCCAGAAGUCCUCCUGCUCCCUCUUGUGGCAGUCAGAAGAGGAAGUGGAAAGGUCUUGAGGUACUGCAAUCCUCCUAACAUUCUGGGGGACUCGGAAUCUGCCUGCGUGUGCGUGCAUGUGUGUGCACGUGUGCAUGUGCAUGUGUGUGCAUGUGCGUGCACAUGGAUCGGUUGGCUCAUUGGCUGGGUGAGAGCCUGGUAUUUCUCUGAAAGCUGAGGAGGCUUCAGCUGUGCACUCUGGCUCCUUACUGUGACCAAAGUGGGGGCCCCUGGCUCCCUACUUCAGUGUUACUUCCUCCUUUAAGGAAAAUCGUUGGUCCUUCAUCCUGCAACAAAGCAGAGUCCCAGCUAACUUGAGGCCAUGAGUAAUUUGAGUGAUAAAUGCCACUGCUGUUGUUAGCCACUGGGAUUCUGAGGUUGUUACUGGGGCAGAGCUUAGUGAGAGCUGACUAACAAACCCUCUCUGAUCGUCAUCAACUUCUCCCCAAAGCUGCCUCAAAAAGAGAGAAAACUGUAAUAUGCUCCUGUGUAUUUUCUUAACCUAAGAUCAAAUGAAAAUAGAAGCAGCUUCAUAAAAAUGUGCUUUUCUCUUGAUUCCUUACAGGGCUACACAAGGGCACUUGCAUAUCUGGCUUCUAAAGCAGACCUCUGGGCAGAAGGGACAGUAAGUGCAAAGGCCCUGAGCCAGAGAGCCCAGCAUGGCUGGAUCGAUGUAAGCAAGUAGGAGGGUGAUAAGAAGUGAAGCAAAGAGGAGUGGGCAGGGGGCAGCCUGAGCCUCCCAGAGGAGGUGCAAUUUCAGCGCAGAAAUGCAAAGGACAUCGCUAUACUCUUUAUAGCCACUUGUUUUGUUUGUUGGCUUUUGCUUGUGUUUGUUGCUUUGUGGUCCUGGGGACUGAACUGGGGCCUCUGCACUAAGCUACACCCCAAGCCCUCUUUCAUGUUGAGACAAGGUCUCACUAAACUGCCCAGGCUGGACUUGAACUUGUGAGCCUCCUGCCUCACCCUCCCAGAGUGCUGGGUUCACAGGCAUGCACCACCAGGCCUGGCACUCUCACCGUGACCACCCAGUAGUGGUGAGUGAAAGGGUUUUGGCCCAGACAGGACACUGUAGCCGGGAAAGCCAAGGAGCUCCUAUCUCCCCCACCCCUAGGAAUUUACCUCUGGCGCCAAACAAAGACCAAUGGGCUACCUGUGCAUCCCUAAUGCCCCCUUAGGUUUCACCCCAAGCAGAGGCUACUUAUGUGCCUCACUCCACGUGUUCCACGGAGAGAUCCCAGACCCUGGGGUGGAGAUGCCGUUCCCCAGGGGAUCGGGGGUGUCUCUCCCUGCAUUCCCAAAAUAAAGGUCAUUUAUAUUUCA